CCUACGGGUGGCUGCAGGGGGGAAUAUUGGACAAUGGGGGCAACCCUGAUCCAGCCAUGCCGCGUGUGUGAAGAAGGCCCUCGGGUUGUAAAGCACUUUCAGUGAGGAAGAACGCCUGGUGGUUAAUACCCAUCAGGAAAGACAUCACUCACAGAAGAAGCACCGGCUAACUCCGUGCCAGCAGCCGCGGUAAUACGGAGGGUGCGAGCGUUAAUCGGAAUUACUGGGCGUAAAGCGCGCGUAGGUGGCUUGAUAAGCCGGUUGUGAAAGCCCCGGGCUCAACCUGGGAACGGCAUCCGGAACUGUCAAGCUAGAGUGCAGGAGAGGAAGGUAGAAUUCCCGGUGUAGCGGUGAAAUGCGUAGAGAUCGGGAGGAAUACCAGUGGCGAAGGCGGCCUUCUGGACUGACACUGACACUGAGGUGCGAAAGCGUGGGUAGCAAACAGGAUUAGAUACCCGAGUAGUC
rnacentral:rRNA from 1 species